rnacentral:rRNA from 1 species
UGGGGAAUAUUGGACAAUGGGGGCAACCCUGAUCCAGCAAUGCCGCGUGUGUGAAGAAGGUCUUCGGAUUGUAAAGCACUUUCGACGGGGACGAUGAUGACGGUACCCGUAGAAGAAGCCCCGGCUAACUUCGUGCCAGCAGCCGCGGUAAUACGAAGGGGGCUAGCGUUGCUCGGAAUGACUGGGCGUAAAGGGCGUGUAGGCGGUUUACACAGUCAGAUGUGAAAUCCCCGGGCUUAACCUGGGAGCUGCAUUUGAUACGUGUAGACUAGAGUGUGAGAGAGGGUUGUGGAAUUCCCAGUGUAGAGGUGAAAUUCGUAGAUAUUGGGAAGAACACCGGUGGCGAAGGCGGCAACCUGGCUCAUGACUGACGCUGAGGCGCGAAAGCGUGGGGAGCAAACAGGAUUAGAUACCCUG